UAUUUUUACAAUUUACUACUGGUACAUCAAUUAGAUUGCAGUACCGGUACCUCAUAUCUACUAAACCAAAUACAUGUAUAAAUCAAAUAUACCCACAUGUUAUGUCAUCCUAUCUACUAUUUAUUAUCUUAGAUAUCAAAAGUUUUACAAAGAAAGUAAAAAAAAAAUCCCCCCCCCCUGUUUGGUUUUAAACAGAUAUUAGUUAAAAUAUUGAUAUGCAGGAAUGUAUCAUUUGUGCAGUACAGUAGUAAGGUAACAUAUUCGGGGGGGGGGGGGGGAGGUAUUGUUGUCAUACAUAUGUCGUUGUUCCAGACAAAUCAUUUAUCAUGUCAAAAUCAUGAUACAGAAGGAAAUUUCCAUAUGCACGAUCAGAAUUUUACAGAAAAUAUUUCUUACUGAAUAGAGAAAAAUAGAACAUCUUCCCCUACUCCCCUUUUCAUGACCCUCGUAAAUCGGUUAGUUUUGUUUGUUUUAUUUAAACUGUUUUUUAAUUUUCGAAAAUAAUAUUUGUACAAGGUGUUGUUAAUAACUGUAAUGGACAUUAAAUAUAUAUGCCAUGCCUUCUCACACGACGUCGUACUUUUUAUUUUCUCUUCCUGUGCAAUAUGAUAUUAAACUCAUUAUGCAGAGCAAUUUUUAUGACUACUUGCAUAAUUGUUAAAUCGUAUUAAACAUGUUAAAUUCUGUAUCAGAUUUAUAUUAUUAUUAAAGUUACAUAUAUCUUGAAUAUUGAAAACGGAUUCAAAUUAUUUACUGGCUUUCAUAUUGAUUUAAACAUAUUUGGUUUGUCGUUUUUUUUGGGUUUUUUUUUCCAUUGUAGAUGUGAGAAAAAAGCAGCUCAGUUUCUCUUAAAAUUGUCACAUGGUGUCUUAUGUCGUCUGAAUACAAAAUGUAUGUUAUUGAUCCGUAAUAAUUAUCUUUUCAAAAUGUUUAUUUGGCACGCCAUACUCGAUAGAAGUGCGGACGUGAAAGAAAGCACUCUUCACGUAAACGUCAACAAAGAUUGCAUUUUAUCUUUUAAAAAAAUACAAAAUAUAGAUCUAAAUAAAGAAAUAUAAAAAAUAUAUAUAUACAUAUUUAUAAGAAGAUACGGGUAAAUAACUCAAGUAUUUCAAGAUCUUUCUCUUAUAAUAUCUAUUAGGUUCUAUAUUUCUUAUAAUAACACAAAUUAUUUGCCGACUUUAUAUUCUGUGACUUUUUGUCAAGACUGUGGUUACAGAUGCUUACUAAAUGCUACUUGUCAUCUUAUUUAUCAUAGAUUCUUUUUUUUAUGUUUUACAUUAUUUCUUAAGAGAUAAAACUGCGUUUUAGAGAAGUUUGGUAUACGUUUUAGUUUUCAAACAACUAUUUUACCACUUACGUCACUGAGAAAAAAAUACUCAGCUGAGAAAAAAAAUUCUCAGCUGAGAAUAUUCUCAACGUUGAGAAUAUUUUUUUAUGGCGGAUAAAAAAGUUCUCAUUCUUAGCUGAGUAAAAUAAUUCAUUCUGAGAAUAUUUUUUUACUCAGCAAAAAAAAGUUUUAUGGCGCCGG
rnacentral:lncRNA from 1 species